CGGUGUUCAACUGGCGUGCCCGCGGGACGUCCUGCCGGUGAGCUCAGCCCGCGAGGGCGGCUCAACUUGAAAUCCCAUCGCGGUGCUCUUCAUUGAGUGUCGAGGUGGGCCGGCACGAUUACUUUUGAACAAAUUAGAGUGCUUAAAGCAGGCUAAAAUUUUGCCUGAAUACUGUGUAUAUGGAAUAAUGGAAUAGGACCUCGGUUCUAUUUUGUUGGUUUUCGGAACCCCGAGGUAAUGAUUAAUAGGAACGGAUGGGGGCAUUCGUAUUGCGACGUGAGAGGUGAAAUUCUUGGAUCGUCGCAAGACGGACUAAAGCGAAAGCAUUUGCCAAAAACGCUUUCAUUGAUCAAGAACGAAAGUUAGAGGUUCGAAGGCGAUCAGAUACCGCCCUAUUUCUAACCAUAAACUAUGCCAGCUAGCGAUCCGCCGACAUCCCUCUGAUGACUCGGCGGGCAGCUUCCGGGAAACCAAAGCUUUUGGGUUCCGGGGGAAGUAUGGUUGCAAAGCUGAAACUUAAAGGAAUUGACGGAAGGGCCCCCCCAGGAGUGGAGCCUGCGGCUUAAUUUGACUCAACACGGGAAACCUCACCAGCCCCAGACACUGGGAAGGAUUGACAGAUUGAGAGCUCUUUCUCGAUUCAGUGGGGGGUGGUGCAUGGCCGUUUUUAGUCGGUGGAGAGAUUUGUCAGGUUAAUUCCGAUAACGGACGAGACUCUGACCUGAUAACUAGACGCACUUGCGGCAUCUCAAAGGUCCGCCGGCGGCUGGCUUUGCGCCCGUCGUCGCGCGCGAUUUUUACUGCCGGCGUACAAUAAAUUCUUCUUAGAGGGACAAGUGG
rnacentral:rRNA from 1 species